rnacentral:rRNA from 1 species
CUACGGGUCGCUGCAGUGAGGAAUAUUGGUCAAUGGACGCGAGUCUGAACCAGCCAUCCCGCGUGCAGGAUGACGGCCCUAUGGGUUGUAAACUGCUUUUCUACGCCAAGAAACCUGGUUACGAGUAACCAGCUGACGGUAGCGUAGGAAUAAGCAUCGGCUAACUCCGUGCCAGCAGCCGCGGUAAUACGGAGGAUGCAAGCGUUAUCCGGAUUCAUUGGGUUUAAAGGGUGCGCAGGUGGGCUUGUAAGUCAGUGGUGAAAUACUGCCGCUUAACGGUAGAACUGCCAUUGAUACUGGGAGUCUUGAGUAUGGUUGAGGUAGGCGGAAUGUGUUGUGUAGCGGUGAAAUGCAUAGAUAUGACACAGAACGCCGAUUGCGAAGGCAGCUUACUAAGCCAUUACUGACGCUGAGGCACGAAAGCGUGGGGAGCGAACAGGAUUAGAUACCCUUGUAGUC